CAGUAUUCGGCCGUUAAUUCGAAAGAACAUCCAAUGGGGUCACUUAUUACAGUUCCGAUCACGUUUGCUAUGGGAUUUAUUUCAGUGAGACCAGCAGAUUUUGUGUAUUGGUGCAAAUGGGUGCUUAGCUACAUUUAUAUUGAAAUCAGCAAAUGGAUCACCCCAAAAAGAUUUGAUCUUUACGAUCCGAAAGCUCUCCAAAAUGCUGAGAAACUCGGUCUCAUCGUACCUGCAGAAGAAUUCCAUUUAGAGUCUCCUUGCCCUGAUUCCCAUCUGCAAAACGGAAAAGAUGAAAUUUUUUGCUAUGGUGUGAAUUCCAAGUCAGAAUACCUUAUCGUCAACAUCUCUCGUCGGAAAGAUCAGAAAGCCGAUGCUUGCAUUUAUCUGAAAUUAGCUUCCGGGAAAACUUACCGUUUGCAAAUGACGGAUCAUUUCCAACAGUCUUGCAGUGAUCAAAAUGUCUUCUCUUGUGGGGAUCUGCAGAUGUCUUACACUUGUCCCAUGAGGAGGUGGAGAAUAUUCUACAACGGCUUCUUAAGAGAGACGAAUAAUGAUGACGAUUCUGAAACAGGGCGCAUGGUCUACGUAAAGUUUGCUUUGGGGUGGCUGGCUUCUUCGGACGUUUUUGACUGUACAUCAGAUUUAAGUUCUCCAACUUUGGCCGAAAUUCUGGCAAAAGCAGACUGGAAAUCGUUACACCCUCCUCUUGAUAAACUCAAACGUGCACUGAAUUUUUACGUGCAAACUGGAAUCCUACAUGGAACUGUGACGGUUGAUGGAGAAAAAGAUGAACACGAGUUGUACUUAUUUGGACAGAGAGUAAGAUAUUUAGGUGAAACUACCAGUUUUAAAGAUGUACAAGUUGAUCACAUGCUGGGACAUGUUCACCAAAACGGAUCGUAUAUUUAUCUGGCGAAAGCCUCAAUCGCUGAAGUUGCAAAUGAUUGCUGUUUUGGUUUCAUUGUGCAACCGGACUGCUAUCUCAGAUCAACCAGAAAAGCUGCCAUAGAGAUUAUAGACUCAAAGGAUGUUAAUUCUGUAAAAGCAACAUUUCAGUCUGGUGUUUCUUACAAACUUAGUGGAUCAUUCUCCAGUCCAUUACUUCAGUCCAUCACGAAAAGAAGAGAAGAGGUCACAUCCUUCAGAAAAUUUGAUUUUUAUAUAAAUGGUAAAAAAGGAACUGGAGUUCAUGUUGGAAGGCAUAUCACACAAACGCCGCGACAAAAAUAUUCAGACGUGACAAAAUCGAAAACUCUUGUUUCAGUGCCACCGUUAGCAAUCUCUUUCUCAAAUGAGGUAUGUCAAGCACCUGAAGUAACGGGAGGAAAAGGUUCAUCGCUGGGAAAAUUAACAUACUUAAGCAAGGAUCUUCAGACGUUCAUAGUUCCCAACGGUAUCGUUGUGACCACAUCGGCUUACCAAAGUUUUGUUACGAAACAGAUCCUUGCUAAAAUUGAAAAGCUGGAAGAUGUCCUUUAUGGUAAAACUGAAGGAAAUGUCAAAAAAGUUUGUGAAAGCCUAUGCUCAGAUAUUACGAUAACCGAGUUUCCUCGAGAAACCCGGGAAGCCAUUGAAGUAUGUUUAAAAAAGACUUUCGGAGGAAACUUCCAGUCCCGAAAAUUUGCCAUUCGAUCUUCUGCCACUGGCGAAGACACAGAACAAAUGUCUGCUGCUGGUCAAAUGGAUACCUUCUUGGGCAUCUCAGGGCUAAAGGAGAUUCUGCAAGCAGUCAAAAAGUGUUGGGCUUCACAGUUUGGAUACAUCGCAAUUCAGUAUAAAAGGCGUUACGGUCAAUAUCUGAAUUCUCCCAUGGCUGUGGUCAUUCAGGAGAUGGUGGCCUGCGAUGUUGCCGGGGUUCUUUUUACUUGUGAUCCUUUGACGGGGAAUCCAACGGUUAUGACUAUAACCGCCAACUAUGGUUUAGGAGAGUCCGUGGUAUCAGGCUCCGAAGAACCGGACACAAUCGAGCUUCAGAGAGAUCCCGAAGACCAUCUAUCUAUCAAGAGCACGAGCAUUGGAGCAAAAAGUAGGAAAAUUAUUGUAAAAGAUGGAGAAGGUACUAUUUUAGAAGAAGUCUGCGAAGAGGAGAAAAAAAAUUGUUGCUUGACGGAUAAAAUGAUUAUUCGACUAGGACAGCUUGGAGUUGAAGUGGAAAAGUAUUAUCGAUCCCACAGAGAUAUUGAAUGGGGUUUCUGGAAUAACAAUCUGUACGUGUUUCAAUCUCGACCAGUAACUAGCGGGACAAAUGAAACAGUGUUUGAAAUAGAUCACGAAUUCGACUCUCCUCUUCGAACGGAGAAUGAUUUCUUUUCCGUGGCGAACGUGGGGGAAAUUAUGCCCGGAGCUAUGUCACCUUUAGGAAUGGAUUACUUAUUUAGGUUAUUUAGCGUCGUCUUUAAUACCGAAGAAGUACUGUGGGUUGCUGCUUGUCGCAGCCAUUAUUACCGAAGUGGUUGGAUGACCUUUUAUAAUCACUCCAUUUUCAAUAUUUCAGAUGUAUUCCCCGAUUUGAAAUCAGAGAAACUCGAUUAUUUCUUGCAAGCAAGUCUGAUAGCAUUCUUUGGCAGAAUAAUAAAAGACGACGAACUUACUCAAGUAACUAGAGAAAGAUACGGAGACGCGAAAAAGGCUUCUGUGCUUGGAUUGUUAAAAAAUUUACUAACGAUAAACAAGCAAAUUCGAAAAGCUCAAACGACUUAUGCUAAUUAUCGGGUUCCAGUUGAGAAAUUCAAAACUUCGACAGAGCUUUUCGACCAUCUUUUGCAAAGCUGUGCGGAAAUCUGUAGCGUUUGCAUGAAUCAUUUGAAGAGUACUCAAGCAUCAUCACUAUGGAAUAUGUUUAUUCUUACAAUUCUUGCCAAAGCCAGAGGAGGAUUUAAUGAUGAAGUUUACCGAGAUUUUGCUUCUCUCAUAACUACUAGCAGUGAUGUAGAAAGUGCUGAUGUGCCUUCCGCUAUACAAAGUCUGGCCUUUUACAUUUCUAAAGCGACAGAUGUAGAUGAGUUCAAGAAAAUGAGCGUUGAAGAAGCUUUGAAUUGGCUGCAAACAACAACUUCUACGGCAGGAAGAAAAUUCCAAGAAUUUUUGCUGAAACAUGGUCAUAGAUGUUUAGGUGAAUUUGAUAUUUAUGCAAUCCCAUGGGGUUCCGAUCCAAAGUCAUUAGUGAAGCUGCUACAGAAUCUAGCUGGAAAUGUAUCUCAGGAUUUCUCAAAGAAGCACUCAGACAACAUAAAUGAAAUGCUCUCUCGGCUUUCUAUUCCCUUGGGAUUCUUUUCCAGAUUAAUGCUGAAAGUUUUACUUCCAAUGAGCCGUCUCGGCGUGCAGAAUCGGGAACUGACAAAGUCUAUGUGCAUAAAAGCAAUCGACGAAUGGAGAAAAGCAUUCUGGUAUCUCGCUAAACUCCUUGUUCUUGAAGGACGUAUUCCUGAAGACGAUAUACUGUUUUUCAUGACUAUGGACGAAAUCAAAGAAUUACUAAACACGCGGUCGCCGAAAAUAUUAGCCAGAGCAACUCAGAGACAAAGGAGGUAUCCAGUUCUCUGCAAAUACAUUUUUCCAGAAAUUAUGAAGGGCGUACCAAGACCUGCAUUCCAGUGAGCCAAGGGGUAGUUGAAGGUUUUGUACAUGUAGCAAUCACUCUAGAAGAAGCAAGUCUCUUGAAGCCCAAAGAGAUUCUUGUGACUUACAGCACAGAUGUUGGUUGGACCCCUUAUUUUCCGGUACUGGCUGGAGUUGUAACGGAAUUAGGAGGACUCAUUUCUCAUG
rnacentral:misc_RNA from 1 species